rnacentral:rRNA from 1 species
GCAGCCGCGGUAAUACGUAGGGGGCGAGCGUUAUCCGGAAUUAUUGGGCGUAAAGAGUGCGUAGGUGGUUACCUAAGCAGGGGGUUUAAGGCUAUGGCUUAACCAUAGUUCGCCCCCUGAACUGGGCUACUUGAGUGCAGGAGAGGAAAGCGGAAUUCCUAGUGUAGCGGUGAAAUGCGUAGAUAUUAGGAGGAACACCAGUGGCGAAGGCGGCUUUCUGGACUGUAACUGACACUGAGGCACGAAAGCGUGGGGAGCAAACAGGAUUAGAUACCCC